GCCGAGAUGGCAGAGCGGCUAUGCACCGUCCUCGUAAGACGGUCCACGUCGGUUCGAUUCCGACUCUCGGCUCCA
rnacentral:tRNA from 1 species